rnacentral:lncRNA from 1 species
GUUAUGAACAGACAAUAAUUGUAUAAGUUUAUAAGUUUAUAAGAAGAUGUUUUUUUCCAAUAAAAUAAUAAAAAAAUGCGUUGUAUGUAGGAUUUAUUUUAAAGGCAACUUAAUUUGAUUUCAUUAAACCUGGCACUAAAAUCGAUCACAAUUGCAAUAGAGGGAACUAAAUUAUGAAAAAAGCAGUUUACCAUGUCAAUUCCAGCCUUUCCACGAUUCAGGAAAACCAUUUUAAAAUGUUUAGCUUAGUUAUUACAAAUGUGUUAUUGUCUGGCAAGCCCGAAAAUCUGUCUUUUAUAAAAUUAUUAUGGAUCCUGUGGCAUCUUCUCUUGAAAAUAUUUGCUGAGCUGUGCUGUUUGGCUUGUAGUUGAUUGUUAAGAAUGCUGUUCUUGGGACUUGAAAGUUGUUCUUUAGGCUAUCAAAAGUUUGAAGAGAACACUUAAGCUUUCGUCACACUAUAUAAAAUAUGGUUUACUCUUGGCUACCAGCGAGACGGAAAACAGAUAUUUUGUGUACUCCGACAUUAAUAGUGUAAGGAACACAAAUGUUUGGGACGACUUACUGUGUAAUGUGAUGGGUAUAUUAAUUAAAUGUUUCUAUUAUGGAUGCUCGACAUUUUGUUAUGACAAAUUCGAUAAUUUAAACAACCAUUGGGUAACGACUAACGAGUGCUUAGAGCAACAUUGGGCUUAAUUUAUUAAGCCAAAUUGGGUGUUCUGACCGUUGAGCAGAACACGUGAUUAUAGGUGCCCGUUUGACUGAACGCUUCUCAGACGUACACAAUUUUAAUUCUGGUAUCUAUGAUGAGUUUAUUUCAUUCACUGUGGGAGAUAUAAAGGUACAGUCACGGCCGAUCAAACUAGUGUUAGAUCCG